rnacentral:rRNA from 1 species
CAGGACGAACGCUGGCGGCGUGCCUAAUACAUGCAAGUCGAACGGUCUUUUCUAUGGAAGCUUGCCUCCACUGAGAAGAUAGUGGCGAACGGGUGAGUAACACGUGGGUAACCUGCCCAUAAGAGGGGGAUAACAUCCGGAAACGGGUGCUAAUACCGCAUAGUUUUCUUGAUCGCAUGAUCGGGAAAGGAAAGACGGCCUUUGUGCUGUCGCUUAUGGAUGGACCCGCGGCGUAUUAGUUAGUUGGUGAGGUAAUGGCUCACCAAGACGAUGAUACGUAGCCGACCUGAGAGGGUGAUCGGCCACAUUGGGACUGAGACACGGCCCAAACUCCUACGGGAGGCAGCAGUAGGGAAUCUUCCGCAAUGGACGAAAGUCUGACGGAGCAACGCCGCGUGAGUGAAGAAAGGUUUUCGGAUCGUAAAACUCUGUUGUCAGAGAAGAACAAGUUGGUGAGUAACUGCUCCAGCCUUGACGGUAUCUGACCAGAAAGCCACGGCUAACUACGUGCCAGCAGCGGC